rnacentral:tRNA from 2 species
GGUGGGGUUCCCGAGCGGCCAAAGGGAGCAGACUGUAAAUCUGCCGUCAUCGUCUUCGAAGGUUCGAAUCCUUCCCCCACCACCA